rnacentral:rRNA from 1 species
AGUGAACGCUGGCGAUAGGCCUAACACAUGCAAGUCGAACGGCAGCACAGUAAGAGCUUGCUCUUACGGGUGGCGAGUGGCGGACGGGUGAGGAAUACAUCGGCAUCUACUUUUUCUUGGGGGAUAACGUAGGGAAACUUACGCUAAUACCGCAUACGUUCUACGGGUGAAAGCAGGGGAUCUUCGGACCUUUCGCGAUUGAAUGAGCCGAUGUCGGAUUAGCUAGUUGGCGAGGUAAAGGCCCACCAAGGCGACGAUCCGUAGCUGGUCUGAGAGGAUGAUCAGCCACACUGGAACUGAGACACGGUCCAGACUCCUACGGGAGGCAGCAGUGGGGAAUAUUGGACAAUGGGCGCAAGCCUGAUCCAGCCAUACCGCGUGAGUGAAGAAGGCCUUCGGGUUGUAAAGCCCUUUUGUUGGGAAAGAAAAGCAGCAGGUUAAUACCCCGCUGUUCUGACGGUACCCAAAGAAUAAGCACCGGCUAACUUCGUG